UGAUUUAUCACAAAUGCGAUUUAACUACAAAUUAUAUAAUACAAUACCUUAACUAUUAUAUAUGUAUAUUAUAUAACUAAACACUAUUCGACUCUAGAAAGCUCAUUACCAUAUUAUUAUAUCCUAUGCUCCGGGAGCACCACCAUGUAUGUUACGUUUCAACUAAAAGUCUAAAACGGAGAAAUAUGACAAAAUUAUUGGUAUUAUAUAUUUUGAUUACAUUGACAUUUUCGUCAGUGUGCCUGGAGUCAAAGCGUAUUGUUUUGUUAUCAGAUAAUGAAGACAAAUGAAGCAAGUGUAAUAUGGAAAAAUAACCACCGAAAACAGCCUUAAGCUUAAUUUCUAUGAAGAUUGUAUUGAUAAUGAUCUGAGUGUUUGUACACAAAAAACGAAAGGAAACGAAAACUAUUUGCGUUACUUUUCGCAAUCGGAAAAUCAAGAAUGUCAAAAUUUCGAGCAAGUAGCUCAAUCGAUGAACGAUGUCUUGCAAUUUUGUGUGGAUAUGGGGAACAGUUCUUGGGCCGAAACGACCUACCAGUAUUGGCCACUGAAUAAAUUUGACUUGACGGAUAAACCAUUUGUGACAAGAAAUGUAGAAAGCCAAGCAGUGAGUAUCAAUGCGGUUACAACUAUUUAAGGGCACUCCGUAUUUCAGCGAGAAUUUUAUAGCUACAAUUCACGUGUGUGCGUAGGUCGUCGAGUCGUUAUUUCUUCAACUCUAACGGAUAUUAUAUUCAUAUCGACGAGUCGGUUCCUGUUUUUCUAGACAUUAAUGGUCCACGACCGGGCAAAAUGUGUUUUACAGCUAAAGUUGUUGCACCAUACAGAAAAUGUAGAAAUGCAAUGCUAUACCGAA